rnacentral:tRNA from 1 species
CGCUGGGGCAGGCGGAGGUGCUCGGCGCGCGGCUGGAGUUCGCCAAUCCGCCCGACGGCGGGGCGCUGGCGAUCCUGACGCUGCCUCAGCGG